ensembl:lncRNA novel transcript
GAGUGAGGGAAGAUGACUCUAACUCCCCUUGGCCUCUUAGAGCAGAGACAUCAGAAAAGGCCACCAGUGAAAAGAAUGUAAGGUCACAUAGCCUGUACCAUUUCAGGGAGGCAUUGUCUAACCUGGAGAUUGACUGGGGCAGCCCUGAAGAAACAGUUCAGGAUUAGAGAAGGUUCAGGUGCUUAGAAUAUUCCUGAAAGUCUGUCCCAGAGCAGCCUGAUACAGGCACAUGAUUGAUUCAUCUCCGGGUAGCUGCUCUGUGUUGUAUGCCACAAAGAAAUACAGAUGAAAAUCCUAGCAGAUGGACAAAGAAGAAUUGAGCAUUCAGGAAAAGCUUAAAUGGUGAUCCUCUUGGGAUAUAAGAAGCUGGACACAUUGCGCAUUAUAGAUAGGUGUGAUAAAAAUCACAGCAUACACCUGUGAACUUUGAAUUAACCAGGAAGCUAAUACACGUUCUUGCACUGAUAAAUUUCUGAGCUAAGAUAAUUAGCAAGAAGGGACAAAGAGACAACUAGAAAUGCCACUCUAAGAUUUCACUGAGUGAAAAAAGAUUCCUUCCUUAAAUCUUACAAGAAAAAUACAGUUUUGAUUAAAAUUAAGCCAUGAGCCUUUUUGAAAUAAUAAUAUUGUCGACCCCCAGUUGUAUGUGCCCAAGGAGAUGGCAAACUUGAGAAACAAGAAUAAUCCUUUCAGCUGGUUUAAAGCUGAGCCCUCACUCUUGGAAUUAAGAAACUGACAAAGGAUGCAAGUUCUUGGUUUAAGGAGCCAAUGGUGUGGUUCCCAGGGACCCUCCCAAAUACACUUCCAAUCUGUUUCUGGAGGACCUGACCUGUAACUCCUGACAAUAUGUUCUGAAUGCUGAAGGAUGGAGAUACACUUUGGACCAAUGGACUCAAGCCCCUCAUUCAAAGAAAACACCAGAAGAGACUUGGUGUUUUGUGAAAUGGCACAUUCCAAAAUCUCUGUCACUGAGAAAAGGAUGUAAGCUCAGGAUCAAAGCAUCGUCUUCAAAGAAGGAGAAAGUGGAAAACCAUUGAGUACUCUGUUUAAGAACACCUUCAUGGAUUUGAUGGAGACAAGGGAGGAAUGUGUUUUGCUGUUUUGGAUUUCAAGAAAUGAAACAGAAACAAGAGCUGGUUUCUUGAUAACUUUGUUCUUCUACGCUAUGGUCUGUAGAAUGAUACAGUUUCUAGUUUAAUUGGUCUGUGACCUGCAGACCCCUGUGUAAGACUCUUCCAGCUUUGAACAUACCAAAGAAAAUUUUAAAAGAA